AGUGAACGCUGGCGGUAGGCCUAACACAUGCAAGUCGAACGGCAGCACAGUAAGAGCUUGCUCUUACGGGUGGCGAGUGGCGGACGGGUGAGGAAUACAUCGGAAUCUACUUUUUCGUGGGGGAUAACGUAGGGAAACUUACGCUAAUACCGCAAACGACCUACGGUUGAAAGCAGGGGAUCUUCGAACCUUGCGCGAUUGAAUGAGCCGAGGUCGGAUUAGCUAGUUGGCGGGGUAAAGGCCCACCUAGGCGACGAUCCGUAGCUGGUCUGAGAGGAUGUCGAGCCACACUGGACUUGUGAUCUGGUCCAGACGUCUACGGGACGCAGCAGUGGGGAAUAUUGGACCAUGGGCUAAAGCCUGAUCCAGCCAUACCGCGUGGGUGAAAAAGGGAUUCUGUGUGGGAAACUCUUUUUUUGGGAAAGAAAAGCAGCAGGUUAAUACCCCGCUGUUCUGACGGUACCCAAAGAAUAAGCACCGGCUAACUUCGUG
rnacentral:rRNA from 1 species